CUACAGGCUUAACACAUGCAAGUCGAGGGGCAGCAUGGUCUUAGCUUGCUAAGACUGAUGGCGACCGGCGCACGGGUGAGUAACACGUAUCCAACCUGCCGUCUACUCUUGGACAGCCUUCUGAAAGGAAGAUUAAUACAAGAUGGCAUCAUGAGUCCGCAUGUUCACAUGAUUAAAGGUAUUCCGGUAGACGAUGGGGAUGCGUUCCAUUAGAUAGUAGGCGGGGUAACGGCCCACCUAGUCUUCGAUGGAUAGGGGUUCUGAGAGGAAGGUCCCCCACAUUGGAACUGAGACACGGUCCAAACUCCUACGGGAGGCAGCAGUGAGGAAUAUUGGUCAAUGGGCGAGAGCCUGAACCAGCCAAGUAGCGUGAAGGAUGACUGCCCUAUGGGUUGUAAACUUCUUUUAUAAAGGAAUAAAGUCGGGUAUGUAUACCCGUUUGCAUGUACUUUAUGAAUAAGGAUCGGCUAACUCCGUGCCAGCAGCCGCGGUAAUACGGAGGAUCCGAGCGUUAUCCGGAUUUAUUGGGUUUAAAGGGAGCGUAGAUGGAUGUUUAAGUCAGUUGUGAAAGUUUGCGGCUCAACCGUAAAAUUGCAGUUGAUACUGGAUAUCUUGAGUGCAGUUGAGGCAGGCGGAAUUCGUGGUGUAGCGGUGAAAUGCUUAGAUAUCACGAAGAACUCCGAUUGCGAAGGCAGCCUGCUAAGCUGCAACUGACAUUG
rnacentral:rRNA from 1 species